rnacentral:lncRNA from 1 species
CUCUGCCAAGGCGCCUAUGAGAGCCUCUUGGCUUUUACCUGGUCUGCGAGAAAUCAAACUUUGGGCACAAGUCAUGAAGCCGACAAGCCCGGGAGACACAGUGUCAGAAUUACAAGGUGAGAUCAGCCGCCCGGCCAAGCUAUCUUCUCGCUAGCAGGUCUCGCAUCUGGGGCUCGAUCUCGUGCAGAGGAGCAUUUCCGAAGACACUGGCCGCUCCCACAAUGGCUCCGAAGAACCCAGCGACCAGCGGGUUCAUGAGUUUGUUGGGGCUGUCCACUCGGUACCAGCUGCGCAGGGAUGUCAGGACAAAGAAACAAGUUGCCUGGUUCCAGCCCUGCUUCAGCACGGGGCCUGUGGGGCCCCGGUAAGUCCCGGUGUUCCCGCACAAUCUCCUAACCCUGUGGAAGAAUCCCCUGUACUUGGAUUUGGAGAGGUCUGGCCAUGGAUUAACUUCACCUUGAUGGUCUCCAUGGGACAUAGGACCACCACGGCCUCGGCCACGCUAGCUCACUGGCCGCACCGCUGCCCGCCUUGCUGUUCACCAGUCCCUGGGCAUCCCGCAUCUGGUUGCUGAGGAACGCCUGACGCCGCCUUGUGGAUGAAGCCGCAGAGCAGGGAGCUGAGGCUGCGGCCCAGGCCCAGGCUGCCUUGGCUGCGACUGUGUGCCUGCAGGCCCCAUGCCCGGUAUCCGGUGGAUGCGAGUGCUAGUCCAGCUGCAGCUGCAUCUUCACGAACUCGGUGGGGAACGGGAUGCAGAUUUUUUUUUUCUUUUCCUUCCUUCCUUCCUUCCUUCCAACUUCCUUCCUUCCUUCCCCUUUCUUUCUUUCUUUUUUUUUUUUUUUUUUUUUUGACAGAAUUUUGCUCUUGUCCCCCAGGCUGGAGUGCAGUGGCGCGAUCUUGGCUCACUACAACCUGGAUUCAAGCGAUUCUCCUGCCUCAGCCUCCCGAGUAGCUGGGAUUACAGGCAUGUGCCACCAUUCCCGGCUAAUUUUUUUGUCUUUUUAGUAGAGACGGUGUUUCCCCAUGUUGGUCAGGCUGGUCUCAAACGCCUGACUCAGAUGAUCCGCCCGCCUCGGCCACCCAAAGUGCUGAGAUUACAGGCUUGAACCACCGCGCCUGGCCCUGUGAUGUAGAUUUUGAUGCUGCCAGCCAGGCUGCCUGCCGGGAUCGCCUGCCCUGGAGCAGGAGCAUCAGCCGUGCGUUCCAGGACGCAGGCAUGGCAUGACCGGCAGGAGGCGGAGUGCCCGGCGUCUCUUGGGAUCGGAGCCUCCUGAAUUCCACGCUGGGACCUUAAUUUGGUUUUAACACAAAUAAAGAUCUCACAUAAAG